rnacentral:rRNA from 1 species
CCUACGGGUGGCAGCAGUGAGGAAUAUUGGUCAAUGGGCGCGAGCCUGAACCAGCCAAGUCGCGUGAGGGAAGACGGUCCUAUGGAUUGUAAACCUCUUUUGUAGGGGAGCAAAAGACGCAACGCGUGGCGUUCCGAGAGUACCCGAAGAAAAAGCAUCGGCUAACUCCGUGCCAGCAGCCGCGGUAAUACGGAGGAUGCGAGCGUUAUCCGGAUUUAUGGGGUUUAAAGGGUGCGCAGGCGGAAGAUCAAGUCAGCGGUAAAAUUGAGAGGCUCAACCUCUUCUAGCCGUUGAAACUGGUUUUCUUGAGUGCGUGAUACGUCUGCGGCAUGCGUGGUGUAGCGGUGACAUGCAUAGAUAUCACGC